GGGUUGUGAGGUUAAGCGACUAAGCGUACACGGUGGAUGCCCUGGCAGUCAGAGGCGAUGAAGGACGUGCUAAUCUGCGAUAAGCGUCGGUGAGGUGAUAUGAACCGUUAUAACCGGCGAUUUCCGAAUGGGGAAACCCAGUGUGUUUCGACACACUAUCAUUAACUGAAUCCAUAGGUUAAUGAGGCGAACCGGGGGAACUGAAACAUCUAAGUACCCCGAGGAAAAGAAAUCAACCGAGAUUCCCCCAGUAGCGGCGAGCGAACGGGGAGGAGCCCAGAGCCUGAAUCAGUGUGUGUGUUAGUGGAAGCGUCUGGAAAGGCGCGCGAUACAGGGUGACAGCCCCGUACACAAAAAUGCACACAUUGUGAGCUCGAUGAGUAGGGCGGGACACGUGGUAUCCUGUCUGAAUAUGGGGGGACCAUCCUCCAAGGCUAAAUACUCCUGACUGACCGAUAGUGAACCAGUACCGUGAGGGAAAGGCGAAAAGAACCCCGGCGAGGGGAGUGAAAAAGAACCUGAAACCGUGUACGUACAAGCAGUGGGAGCCUCUUAAUGGGGUGACUGCGUACCUUUUGUAUAAUGGGUCAGCGACUUAUAUUCUGUAGCAAGGUUAACCGAAUAGGGGAGCCGAAGGGAAACCGAGUCUUAACUGGGCGUUAAGUUGCAGGGUAUAGACCCGAAACCCGGUGAUCUAGCCAUGGGCAGGUUGAAGGUUGGGUAACACUAACUGGAGGACCGAACCGACUAAUGUUGAAAAAUUAGCGGAUGACUUGUGGCUGGGGGUGAAAGGCCAAUCAAACCGGGAGAUAGCUGGUUCUCCCCGAAAGCUAUUUAGGUAGCGCCUCGUGAAUUCAUCUCCGGGGGUAGAGCACUGUUUCGGCAAGGGGGUCAUCCCGACUUACCAACCCGAUGCAAACUGCGAAUACCGGAGAAUGUUAUCACGGGAGACACACGGCGGGUGCUAACGUCCGUCGUGAAGAGGGAAACAACCCAGACCGCCAGCUAAGGUCCCAAAGUCAUGGUUAAGUGGGAAACGAUGUGGGAAGGCCCAGACAGCCAGGAUGUUGGCUUAGAAGCAGCCAUCAUUUAAAGAAAGCGUAAUAGCUCACUGGUCGAGUCGGCCUGCGCGGAAGAUGUAACGGGGCUAAACCAUGCACCGAAGCUGCGGCAGCGACACUAUGUGUUGUUGGGUAGGGGAGCGUUCUGUAAGCCUGUGAAGGUGGCCUGUGAGGGUUGCUGGAGGUAUCAGAAGUGCGAAUGCUGACAUAAGUAACGAUAAAGCGGGUGAAAAGCCCGCUCGCCGGAAGACCAAGGGUUCCUGUCCAACGUUAAUCGGGGCAGGGUGAGUCGACCCCUAAGGCGAGGCCGAAAGGCGUAGUCGAUGGGAAACAGGUUAAUAUUCCUGUACUUGGUGUUACUGCGAAGGGGGGACGGAGAAGGCUAUGUUGGCCGGGCGACGGUUGUCCCGGUUUAAGCGUGUAGGCUGGUUUUCCAGGCAAAUCCGGAAAACCAAGGCUGAGGCGUGAUGA
rnacentral:rRNA from 1 species